UCCAUCAGCCAACCAAGACUCGACACGUAGCAAGCAAAGUGUCGGCACAAUCAGAAGACGACACGUAGCAAGCCGAGUGUCGGCACAAUCAGAAGACGACACGUGGCAACCAAUCAAUACGCAAACUUCGCCUAUAAAAGGAACCCAUGAGGAAGAACGAAGACACGGGCAAUUUUCGCCAAGCUCUUUCUCACUCUAAAACGCUCUCCCUUCUCUCUAAAAAACCUGUAAAAUUUUAAGUUCUAUCAGCAAUUCUGUAAUCAAAGAUUGUAUCAUCAAGAUCAAUAAAAGUAAGUAUUAAUCAUAAUCUUGUCAUCAUAAGUUUGUCUUUAAUCUAGAAAACAUAUAAAAAUAAAAAUAAAAUAAGAACUUUGUAAACAAAUCAAUACAAAGAAAGUAAAUUAAAACUGGUAUCGUCGGAAAUUCGUCGGAAUAGACCGAUUCCGACGAAUUUC
rnacentral:lncRNA from 1 species